UGGGGAAUAUUGCACAAUGGGCGCAAGCCUGAUGCAGCCAUGCCGCGUGUGUGAAGAAGGCCUUCGGGUUGUAAAGCACUUUCAGCGAGGAGGAAGGUGGUGAACUUAAUACGUUCAUCAAUUGACGUUACUCGCAGAAGAAGCACCGGCUAACUCCGUGCCAGCAGCCGCAGUAAUACGGAGGGUGCAAGCGUUAAUCGGAAUUACUGGGCGUAAAGCGCACGCAGGCGGUUUGUUAAGUCAGAUGUGAAAUCCCCGGGCUCAACCUGGGAACUGCAUUUGAAACUGGCAAGCUAGAGUCUCGUAGAGGGGGGUAGAAUUCCAGGUGUAGCGGUGAAAUGCGUAGAGAUCUGGAGGAAUACCGGUGGCGAAGGCGGCCCCCUGGACGAAGACUGACGCUCAGGUGCGAAAGCGUGGGGAGCAAACAGGAUUAGAUACCCUGGUAGUCCACGCUGUAAACGAUGUCGAUUUGGAGGUUGUGCCCUUGAGGCGUGGCUUCCGGAGCUAACGCGUUAAAUCGACCGCCUGGGGAGUACGGCCGCAAGGUUAAAACUCAAAGGAAUUGACGGGGUC
rnacentral:rRNA from 1 species